CGCACCUUGCGCCCUUUGGUAAUCCGAGGGGCAUGCCUGUCUGAGUGUCUUGAAUUCCUCAGGCCGACCGGGUUUACCCCCGGCCAGGCUUGGAGUGGUGGGGGUGUGCCGCCGCGAGGCCGGCUCCCCCGAAAUGCGUCGGCUGUGGCCACCGAGCUUGUCCCGAAAGGCGUUGUAACACCUCGCUUGCGGGGAUCCGCUCGGUCUCUGUGCGCCCGGCCCUCGGCCAGCCAUCAGCGCGGCUGCCGAAUGUUGCCAUCAUCAUCAAUCUCUGACCUCAGAUCAGGUAGGACUACCCGCUGAACUUAA
rnacentral:misc_RNA from 1 species